ensembl:lncRNA novel transcript
GACUCUGAAGCCUGACCUCUCUCUACUGCCACACAAGUUCUGUGCUAACAUGGGAAUAACAUUAGGAUCAAAACACCCCCACUCAUCUAGCCAGGGCUGUGGACCCGAUGAUUACUCUAUCCUGGGCCUGAAAUUUUCUCUCAGGGGGAGGAAUUCAGGUAUGCAAAGAGGUGGUUGUGACACCCUCAUGACCAGGACUGAUCAUCCAUGGACAGGAAAGGAGACCAUGCAUUAUGAACCAGAGGAAAAUGUGACCUUCGCUAGGAUAAGUGUGAAAAUGGCUGGGCCUGUGGUGAAGACGUCCCUUGUGCUAAAGGUGGAGGGCCUUUCUGGGAUUCAGUGACUUCAGAGAACCCUUCUGUGUUGCUUAAUUCAGGAGAUGCAUACAGGAGCUGGAGUCAAAGCUGGUGAGCAAUCCAGGCUUAUGAAGAUGCUGGACAGACUUGUUAUUUCCUGUAUGAGGACUAUGGACAAAUCAGUGGCCAGAGGUAUUGGAGACACAAACCCUACCUGAGAUGAUUCUUGGCCUCUGUCCCAUAUCCAAUAGAGAUAAGCCUCUCCCAUCACAUUCCAUCUUGUUCAACUUGCUUGAUAAAAACAGUGGCGCAGUUUGAGAGAAUGGACUCCCAUUUUAAAAGAAGUUCUAUUGUGUAUAAAAUGCUAUGCAAAUAGCAUUGCAUGCUACAUUAAAAUCUUUCAUAAAAGGA